rnacentral:lncRNA from 1 species
AACAUGGAAUGAAAAGUCAGCAAACUUUAGCUCUCGUGACUUAGACAACUAACAAUGAUCAGGAGCCCUGUGAAAGCUUAUGGGGAGCAGCACACCCUGGAACAGGCAUUAUUCUUAAUGCUACUCAGAGUAACAGCCACUCAGUCUACCUCAGAGGAUGUGGGGCUGAAAACAAAAUCACAGGUAAGAAGGUGCAUGUUUAUUUAAACACUCGAAUCUUAGAAUGCUAGAAAUGAGAAGCCUCCGUAAGAAUCAUCUAGUUCAGGGGCUGGCCCUGUGGCCGAGUGGUUAAGUUUGCGCGCUCCGCAGCAGGCGGCCCAGUGUUUCGUUGGUUCAAAUCCUGAGCGCGGACAUGGCACUGCUCAUCAAACCAUGCUGAGGCGGCGUCCCACAUACCACAACUAGAAGGGUCCACAACUAAGAAUAUACAACUAUGUACUGGGGGGCUUUGGGGAGAAAAAGGAAAAAAUAAAAUCUUAAAAAAAAAAGAAUCAUCUAGUUCAACCUACUCACUUUAUAAAUGAAGAAACUGAGCCCAAGAAAU